ACCUGGCUGGCUCAGUCAGUAGAGCGUGCAACUCUUGAUCUCAGGGUCAUGAGUUCAAGCCCCAUGUUGGGCA
rfam:Felis catus breed Abyssinian Contig182913.1, whole genome shotgun sequence. [26-MAY-2016]